UAGAGUUUGAUCAUGGCUCAGAUUGAACGCUGGCGGCAGGCCUAACACAUGCAAGUCGAGCGGCAGCACGAGAAAGCUUGCUUUCUUGGUGGCGAGCGGCGGACGGGUGAGUAAUACAUGGGAAUCUGCCCGAUAGUGGGGGACAACGUUUCGAAAGGAACGCUAAUACCGCAUACGUCCUACGGGAGAAAGCAGGCUUAGGCUUGCGCUAUCGGAUGAGCCCAUGUCGGAUUAGCUUGUUGGUGAGGUAAUGGCUCACCAAGGCGACGAUCCGUAACUGGUCUGAGAGGAUGAUCAGUCACACCGGAACUGAGACACGGUCCGGACUCCUACGGGAGGCAGCAGUGGGGAAUAUUGGACAAUGGGGGCAACCCUGAUCCAGCCAUGCCGCGUGUGUGAAGAAGGCCUUCGGGUUGUAAAGCACUUUCAGCGAGGAGGAAAGCAGUAAGGUUAAUACCCUUAU
rnacentral:rRNA from 1 species